ensembl:lncRNA
ACCUACUAGUGUCAUAAUGCUGUUACACUUCCUUAUUUUUACUCUUCAGUUCUCAGUCGCGUAAACACCCUACUACCAAUCUGUCGUCACAGAACGGGGCUUUUAAAAAUCUCUUAUCUGCUGUUUGUUCAUAGGAAAUGCCCGACCAUGACUGUGCUGGGACAUUUUGAACAUUUCGUCAGCGUUCUGGUAGGCGCUAUGGAAGUUUUUCAAAUUUUGAUACGCAGAGAUCCCGCCUUAAACCCCUCCAGUGGAAAUUUACGGUCUUAUUUUGUCUUCCUCUUGUUCUUCCCCAGUGCUUUCAAAUGACCAAAGUCUUUCACCGGUCAUGUUGUUUCCCCUCUGGUAGGCAGCACAGCUGCCUAUAUUAGGAAAUGCGGCCGAGGGACUGUUGUUUUACGCUGGUGUCAGGGAGCAAAGGUGAAACCCCGGCGUUCGCUGCGAACCCGGCCCAGCCGUGCCGUGGGAGCGCGGUGCCGGUACCGACGGCCAGAACGGCGUCCGCGGGCCUGGGCCGCCGCGCCUCCGGCCGCUCCCCUUCCCGGCUGCUCGCCAGUUCCGCGCCCACGGCCUGGAAAUCCCCGUCCGGGAAGAACCCUCGGGUUUCCCCCGCCCGAGGAACAAGGCAGAGGAAAGUACCCAAGGUCCCCGCUGACUACAGCCCCGCCCUCCCCCACAGCGCCUGUCGAGGCGGAACAUCCGCCCGGGGAGCCCCGGGGCCGAGGGGCCCUGCCCAGGGAGCCCCUCCCGGCCCGUCUCGCCGCACGAGGGCGCUCGCGGCGCCGGCAAAGGGCGGGGCUGCGCCCGGCGCUCGCCGGGAGCUCCGGGCCAGCUCAGCUGGAGUUUCCGAGGCGGGGCCGUGCCGGGCUCCCUGCCCCGCGCCCUGCCGGGCGCACACAUAUAGGCUGGGCCUUCUGGGGGCCGCCGCGAGGGAUUGUGCGGUGGCUGUUUUGCUCUGUUACAAAAAAUUGAAUAAUUGAAACUACAGAUACUUAAAAUUUCUUCUUGAGGACAGUCAGUACCAAUAUGGAGACGUAGGCACCUUAGAAGGGACUUCAGUCUUACCUCUGGGAGGUAGUUCUGUGCAGAAAUAAAGAAACUAAGGCAUCAAUUACUUUUUUUUCCCCAUAAUCUAAGGGUUCUGUUUGCUUCUGUAUGCCAUAAACAUGGCAUACAGAAAAAACUUAAUUCAACAGUAUAAAGCAGCAGAAUGUCUCAACCCAAGGCAAUUAAUUUAUGUUAAAUUUGAUAACUCUGUACUUGUAACUAAAGCACCAGGCUAAAACUGAUGUGCCCUGUUAAUUUGGUGCUGACUUGUAGACAAGCCUGGAGCUAUCCAGGUUUGUGAAUAAAGAAAGUUCAUCCUUGUCUGGGACAGUGUAUAGAAUUUGUUUCUCUAAUAGCUGAAUAUUCUAUACAUGUGAAGUGGAGUAUAAACUAACUUGUUUAGUCUUAACAACUUGUUACAGCAAUAUGCAGAACUUGAGGGUUUUUUUUGGAGUGCAGUAGUGGCAAAUAUACAAGAUCAGUAUAGCAACAUCAUUUCAGGGUCUCUGUUUUUGUGUGCCCUUUGAACUUAAUAAAUCCUUCUUUUCAGCCUCCUAGUGAGGUUUCACAAACUAAAAUCUUUGUGUGUGUAUAAGCUACAUAUUUAUCAGCUUUCUAGGGUGAAUUCUUGUCCUUAAAUCACUUAACAUAUGUUCUGGAUAAGAACAACGUUGUUUUAGUUGCCUCCCAAUUUAGUUUCUUUAUUAACAAAGGAUUUUGAUAAACCCAUUUGAGGUUUUCCUCUUUUGAUCCUACCUCCACUAGCCUGACAAAUUGCUAUUGCUCUCCCCUCUCCCAGAUAUACAGAACAAGUAAAGCAUGUGAUGCUUGUAUGAUACAAUGGAAAUUGCUUUUCAACCCGCUUUCUUCAGUUGUUAAAAUGGGAUGGAGAAGCUUUUGCAGUGAAAGUAGUUGCUAAACUAAGGUGCAAGAACUUUCCAAAUGUUUAAUCAUCAGGUCAGUUCUAUUCAUAUGCACAUUUGAAGUUACACUUUAAAGUAUUUAUUGCUUUUGUACAGGGGUUGUUCCAAAUUGCCUUUAAUGCACACAACUACCUCCCAGAGGAAGACUUGUCCCAU